rnacentral:lncRNA from 1 species
GCUGCACCAAACCAAUCUGUGCCUCACAGUGGCUUUCCACCUCAAACCAAUCAACCCACAAUGCAGCCAUCUCUUAGUGGUCAGUAUGCACCCCAAAAUGGUUUUCAAGCACAACCUGGCCAACCUGCUGGUUUUCCUACUCAACUUGGACAGCCUUCAUUGCAAGCGAACUAUCCUCCUCAACCAUCACACUCUGUUCCACAAGCAGGCUUUCCUUCUCAAACUAUGGCUUUAGCCCUCCAUGGUCAAGCUGGUCAGGCACCACUUUCAGGUUUUCCUUCUCAAGGUGGUU